rnacentral:rRNA from 1 species
ACGAUGAAGAGUUUGAUCCUGGCUCAGGAUGAACGCUAGCGGCAGGCCUAACACAUGCAAGUCGAGGGGUAGAGGGAGCUUGCUUCCUUGAGAC